rnacentral:misc_RNA from 1 species
ACUAAUUUAUUCUUGUAUGAUUUAAGAUAUAUCCUUCUCAAUAAUAAAACUCUUAGGAUAAGCGGCUUUUCUUUUGUAUCAGUGUCUGAAUAGGCUGAUGCACGGUUUAUCUCCUGAAAAAUUGCACAUUUAUCUCCACUCCAAAACAAUCAUCUUUUUCCGUGAUUUAUCUGAAGUAAAGCAUUAAUAUGUUUUUGAGUUGAACCUUUAUUCCAG